CUUUCCGGUGAGGGAACCUCUCUCCAGACAUGAUCAAGAGAAACUGGCGAGGGACUGACAUGAUCUAGCUUACCUUGGGUCACCGAACGGAUUUGAACUCAUGUGAGAAUAUAUCUCUGUUGUAUUCAAAAGGCAUGUGACAUAAUUAUCCCAGCGAUCACUAAAACUGUAAAUUUGGAUGCAAUUAAGAGAGAAAACUCCACACAUUUAUGGAAAUUUAAGCAUCUGGAUGUUGAAUUCUCAGCUCCUUCUCCAGGACCAUGUCUGCCUGGAUGCUGCCAUGCCAUGCUUCCUGCCAUGAGAAUAAUAGACUCAACCUCUGAAACUAUUUGCAGCUUGCUGGCUUGCUGAGUGGAAAAUGAUUCUUUCCCAGUUCUCCUUGGUUUCUUCCUUUCAUGAAUUGAUUAACACUGAGAGAUUAUGUUUUAAUUAUGUCGACUAGAGGUUUUAAAUGAUUCUAGGUUUCUGUGUCCAUUUGUUUUCCUAGGUUUGGGGAAUUUGCUACUGCAAUAUCGUUGUAUAGAUAUUCUUUGCUUUAGUGAGAAACUCAGCUCCUUCUACUCUGUGGUUCUUAGCUUUAGUCUAUUGUACACAUCACAGAGUUAAUGAAAGCUGUGGUCAUACUUGAUUUUUUCUUCAUUACUAUUGAAAUAAAGCAUAUCCUUGACCUUGUC
rnacentral:lncRNA from 1 species